UAGACCUCAAAUCAGG
rnacentral:rRNA from 1 species